GCCAGGUGCAGUGGUGUGCACCUGUAAUCCCAGCUACUCGGGAGGCUGAGGCAGAAGAAUCACUUGAACCCAGGAGAUGGAGGUUGCAGUGAGCCGAGAUCAUGCUACUGCACUCCACCCUGGGCAACAGAGCGAGACUCUGUCUCAA
rnacentral:SRP_RNA from 1 species